rnacentral:rRNA from 1 species
AGAGUUUGAUCAUGGCUCAGAUUGAACGCUGGCGGCAGGCCUAACACAUGCAAGUCGAGCGGCAGCACGGGUACUUGUACCUGGUGGCGAGCGGCGGACGGGUGAGUAAUGCCUAGGAAUCUGCCUGGUAGUGGGGGAUAACGCUCGGAAACGGACGCUAAUACCGCAUACGUCCUACGGGAGAAAGCAGGGGACCUUCGGGCCUUGCGCUAUCAGAUGAGCCUAGGUCGGAUUAGCUAGUUGGUGAGGUAAUGGCUCACCAAGGCGACGAUCCGUAACUGGUCUGAGAGGAUGAUCAGUCACACUGGAACUGAGACACGGUCCAGACUCCUACGGGAGGCAGCAGUGGGGAAUAUUGGACAAUGGGCGAAAGCCUGAUCCAGCCAUGCCGCGUGUGUGAAGAAGGUCUUCGGAUUGUAAAGCACUUUAAGUUGGGAGGAAGGGCAUUUACCUAAUACGUAAGUGUUUUGACGUUACCGACAGAAUAAGCACCGGCUAACUCUGUGCCAGCAGCCGCGGUAAUACAGAGGGUGCAAGCGUUAAUCGGAAUUACUGGGCGUAAAGCGCGCGUAGGUGGUUUGUUAAGUUGGAUGUGAAAUCCCCGGGCUCAACCUGGGAACUGCAUUCAAAACUGACAAGCUAGAGUAUGGUAGAGGGUGGUGGAAUUUCCUGUGUAGCGGUGAAAUGCGUAGAUAUAGGAAGGAACACCAGUGGCGAAGGCGACCACCUGGACUGAUACUGACACUGAGGUGCGAAAGCGUGGGGAGCAAACAGGAUUAGAUACCCUAGUAGUCC